GAUGAAGAACGUAGCGAAAUGCGAUAAGUAGUGUGAAUUGCAGAAUUCAGUGAAUCAUCGAAUCUUUGAACGCACAUUGCGCCCCUUGGUAUUCCAUGGGGCAUGCCUGUUCGAGCGUCAUUUGUACCUUCAAGCUCUGCUUGGUGUUGGGUGUUUGUCUCGCCUCUGCGUGUAGACUCGCCUCAAAACAAUUGGCAGCCGGCGUAUUGAUUUCGGAGCGCAGUACAUCUCGCGCUUUGCACUCAUAACGACGACGUCCAAAAGUACAUUUUUACACUCUUGACCUCGGAUCAGGUAGGGAUACCCGCUGAACUUAAGCAUACCAAUAAGCGGAGGA
rnacentral:misc_RNA from 1 species